CUGAACUUAAGCAUAUCAA
rnacentral:ncRNA from 3 species